GGCUUAUUAGCUCAGUUGGUUAGAGCGUUGUGCUUAUAACGCGAAGGUCACAGGUUCGAAACUUGUAUAGGCCA
rnacentral:tRNA from 2 species